AAUUUGUGUUCGUUGCUGCGAAGCUUUCAUGUCAUUAUAUUUAAGAAAGUAUGGAUAUGGGCGGUUCUACUUUGGACGAGAGAGGUUCUUUCCCGCUUACGUUGGCUUCGUCUUUCAGAAGGGAUCCCCCAUCACACCAGUCUUCACACAUUUCAUACUCACGAUGCAAGAGACUGGUUAUUUCAAUAAAAUGCUUGAAAAAGAGUUCCAAAAGAUUCCACGGGAUCCAUCAGCAAAAGUAGAGGGGGAAGAAAAAAGUUUUGCAAUUGCCAUCACACACCUGCAGGCUUGCUUCUACAUAUAUGUUAUCGGAAUGUCUGCAGCUUCUAUGGCAUGGUUGCUUGAGUGCAUUACAUUCUUCUGUAAUAAAAAAGACUAAAUAGUGCUAUCUUAAGAUGCCAGAUGACACGAAGUAAGUUUGUGCUCCAGAUAUUUUGUGAUCGAAGGAAGGAACCCAGGACAGCUUGAGAAACAGAACAAAAUUAUUAGGUUGGCUCGCCUACAUCAUUUAAUUAUCAACAGAUCUAGCAUAGCGUGAACGGAACCUUGCUAGUUCGGAUAUUGUCAGCCAGUACUUCAGUGCAUCAGAAACUGACGAAGUUAUCCUUUAUGCAGUGCAUGACGGAAGAGAAACCUGCGCAUCAUUUACUCCUAGGACUUGUCUAUAUUUAUAAGUAUACAAAGCAGUUUGCUAAAGAUUUAGAAAGUUUAAAAUCCUUCACUGAAACAGAGGACAAAGUCAGAAGAUAUCAGAAUGUUAAGUAGGAUAGCCGUAGCAAAGAGAAAGUAGGAUUAUUGUUACCUCUUCUGACACGAAUCAACAAAAUACAGUUCAGUGAUGACGCAGACAUCAAGAUUUAUGUCCCAGUACCUCUACACUCACAGCAGUACUGUACUAGAUGCCUUCUAAUGCAGUGAAAUGGACAGAUUUUUUUACGUUUAGGUAAAUGGUAUUGGUUAGCAAAACAGGAUAUUUUUGGUGUUAGAACUUUGUGAAAGGUUAAAACUUCCAUAAAAAAAGUAAUGGUUCAGAAACACUAGAGGUCUCUUUUUCUAUUAAGAGUAUUUUAAUUUACAGCAACAACAUUAUGUUAACCUGUAACCACUCUCCCCACUCUUUCAUAAAAAUAUAACAUUAUUUUUUUGUUUGUUUUCAUGAACAAAUAGAAAUGGCAUUCGUUUUCAUAUAAGCACUCAUAGCGUGCCAAGAAGGGCGUUUUAACCCUGCAUUCACGAAAGGAAAACAUUCUAGUAAAUUUUAUUUAGAAUCGUCCAUUUCCAAUAAAAUCUGUCUGUCUUCAGAUAAAGUUAGAUAUAGAUCCAUGCAAUAUUCACCCUUUGUCUAAUCUUUGCAAAAUUACCUUCAGUAUAGAUAAAAUUACACACCAUGCCAUUUUCAGUGUUAUUGACAGCGCAAGUUAAUUUUAGAAUAUAAAGAAAUGGUAAAACUGUUCUAAAAGGGCAUAAUACAAAAUAUAAAAUACUUCUUAAAAUCGUGAUUUGAAAUCAUGUGUAGAGCAACCGUCAUAUGGCGUGAAAUAAAGUGCAAUACAACCAAGUCUUUCCUUUGUAUCUAAUAGUUUAUGUUACCAGAACAAUAACAUACCCCCCAAAAAAGUGUUCUAUCUGGGGACUCC